CACGGCGAAUACCGGUGGCAGACAGAGGAGUAGGCUGUCCAUUAUGGCACAGUACCCGUGCAGCGUGAGGAGCUGAUUCACCAUUCCUGGACGGGCUUUUGUCCCCAAACCAGAGGUGGGUGUCGGGGUUGUGCACUUCACCCCACUUCUACAGCCGCAGAUCAACCAGCCAUUUAAGAUGGUGGAAAAAGUCGUCAGAAAUGUCUUCCAGUUUAGAAAAAAAUACUGUCGGAGAGGGAUUGAGUAAACAAUUUCUACAGCAGAAUGUUAUUUCCAGAAGCCCGGCGCUCGCAGCUUGCAGAACAGAUGAUACUCACAGCCGACGUGGAUCCAACCCUCCGUCCGACGGAACUGUCCAUUUCCCAUUUCAGAAACCUUGCUGAGGCUUACAGCAGACUGUGUGAGUAAGACGCAGGUCUCUUCAGCUAUGAGUUCAGAGAUGAGCUGAGGCAGAAGAAACAGAGACGCCCCGGCUGCACGAUAGAAGAGGAAGCAGAAAGAUACAGGCAUUAAAACAGGAAGAUAAUGGGUUCUGUAAAACAUGGGCCACUUAUUAGCUUUGACAUUUCACUAUAAUGGCACAUAAAUAUUUCAAAAAUAAAGAUUAUUUUUAUAAAGAAGUAACAUGUCUUGGUAAAAAAAAUGAAAUGAUCUUUUUAACUGUGGAUGGUGAUUGCACACUAUCUGUAGGAUAGAGUAUAGCACAAACUGAUUUUAAAACUGACAUUUGAAUGUGUUCUGCGUAUGAUUCGUUUUCUUUAUAAAAAAUGUUGAUGUGCUGAGGGUCAGAUAUUCUUAUACAGAACCUUCAGCGCAUGAAAAGUGGACAAUUGAUCAGCC